rnacentral:rRNA from 1 species
CGGCGACGAGUGGCGAACGGGUGAGUAAUACAUCGGAACGUGUCCGCUCGUGGGGGACAACCAGCCGAAAGGUUGGCUAAUACCGCAUGAGUUCUACGGAAGAAAGAGGGGGACCCGCAAGGGCCUCUCGCGAGCGGAGCGGCCGAUGACUGAUUAGCCGGUUGGUGAGGUAACGGCUCACCAAAGCAACGAUCAGUAGCUGGUCUGAGAGGACGACCAGCCACACUGGGACUGAGACACGGCCCAGACUCCUACGGGAGGCAGCAGUGGGGAAUUUUGGACAAUGGGCGCAAGCCUGAUCCAGCUAUUCCGCGUGUGGGAUGAAGGCCCUCGGGUUGUAAACCACUUUUGUAGAGAACGAAAAGACACCUUCGAAUAAAGGGUGUUGCUGACGGUACUCUAAGAAUAAGCACCGGCUAACUACGUGCCAGCAGCCGCGGUAAUACGUAGGGUGCGAGCGUUAAUCGGAAUUACUGGGCGUAAAGGGUGCGCAGGCGGUUGAGUAAGACAGAUGUGAAAUCCCCGAGCUUAACUCGGGAAUGGCAUAUGUGACUGCUCGACUAGAGUGUGUCAGAGGGAGGUGGAAUUCCACGUGUAGCAGUGAAAUGCGUAGAUAUGUGGAAGAACACCGAUG